AUGGCCUGUUUGAUUCAGUCUUUAAAGAAUCUCCUGUCUCACAAUGCUUUCAGCUGGCUGCUCUUCUGCCAGGAAAUCUGGAAGGCAGAGGGUGUGUUUUACUGUUCUGGAUGCUAUGCUUUCAUUGUCAGAUACAAUCGGAAUGCAGUCGGAAUGGAGUUUCGCUAAAACAUGCCCUCUGUUGUCAUCUUUGUAUCGUAAGUUGUUUGUGCUGUUCACUGCAGAGGAACUGAUGGCUCAUUUACAGCACGUCCUAGAGACUCAUGAGGUGAACUGACAGAAUGUGCGGUCAUGUGUAUCCACACUGCUGGUGUGUCAGAUACAAGCACAGCAGAAGCUCAAAGAUUUGCUGACCCAUCUCUUAACCAGUGCUUUUGAGGUUUAUGAGCUGGAGAGUAUGGUUACUGCUUUCCUUUUGGCUCGUCAGGCCUCUCUGGAGGGACCUGCUGUUUUCAUCUCCUACUCGGAGUGGUUCAAGGCAACUUUGAUCAAAGAGGAACGGUUUAAUCUGUUUAUCAUGGUCACACAAAUUACAUUGCAUAGGUCUCACAAGUAACUAACAAUAAAGUUUAGACAAGGGUAUGGAAAUACUGAUGCCUUCAGUGGUCACUGACUGUAGACAGAUUUGAAGGUAUGAAAAGAGGACAUGGUUGAAGUGGAAUUGCAAGACAGAAUGUAAGAGAGAGGCAGGAGGAGAGGAAAGAAAUGGUUAAAAAAGCAGGCUUACACUAGACACUAGACUGGCUGGCAGUUGUCAUUUAGGUGUCCUUUGUUUAAACACACACCUUUUCUUCUUUAUGAGGGAUUAUAUUGUGUCCUGUCUCUAAUGAAAUGUGUGAUUUUAUUUUUAUCAGAUUUCCUUUGGGAAUGCCAGCAGUUACCAUGGAAACAGUAAGAAGUCCCUAGUGUUUCUUCUCAAUUUUCACUCAGGCCUGGUGUCAUUUGAACCACCACAGUACUUAAAGUAUAUUUCGAAGCCCGUAUUACGUCUCGAUUCCUGCCAGCCUUGCUGUCUCCAUGUGUGACAUGGAAACUGAGCCUCUCUUUUUGUGAAAAUGCAGUGUGGCCACCGACUGCUUCUAAAGACUAACCAGAUUAUUACAACUGACCUGACCUGCCAUCAGGUAUCAAUUACUGCUGUUGUACCAAUAAAAUAAUUGGUUGAUAAAUGUUUGGCACAGAGUACACACAGGUGUAUCUGAUUCAAUUUCAGCUGCAGUAUUUCAUUCCAAGACUAGCCGCAGAAGCUCGAGUGGAAUCUGUAGAAGAUGGAGCAGAAUCUGUCUGGAGCAUUUUGUCUCAUACUUGUUUGAGUUGGAAGAGCUUGGCUUUGUCCCCAUGGAGACAUUACAACUUUAGAAAACUUGAAAAACUGGCAGAGUUCAAGGUAUGCAUGUGCAAAAUAAUUGGAAUACAUGGAAGGUAUACAGAUGGUAGUGUUAACAAAAACUGAACUUUGGUGUUUUGGUGAAUGGGUCAUGGCUGAGCUGGAUGUCCAACCUGGCAGGGAUGAUUUUGUCAGAAUCAGAAAGGUUAGAUGAAUACAUUUGUUGUAAUCAAGUUAAAAAUAUAAAGUUGUAUUUCAGUAAACUUUAUUUAGAUAUUAACAAUAUAUUAGAAAACGAUUGAGUGCAAACAGCCAAUCAGCUUCCAGAUCUAGUGGGCUUCUAUUUUGCAUAGAUGGCCGCUGAAACAUUAAAGUGCUUAACUGUGCAUUAAAUUUUAAAUCAAUCCGCACAUAAAUACCUUCUUUUCCCCUUAACAUUCUAAUCUAAAACUAAUCUGAUAACAUAAAAUAUAAACAUAAAGCUACACCCUGCCUCAAAACCAGCCAGUCAAACUGCCGAUCCUGUUUCAGUUCUUUCCGCACCAGCCAAUCCACUCCCUGCCAGCUUGAAUGAUGCCCCGCCUCCAACAAGAAGUUUCGAGUCUGGACUAUUCAGCAAUUGUACAGUUAAUUUUAUCUGGCAAAGUCCAGAUAAAUUAUAAUAAGAAAGAGUAAGACCCAAUAAACAUGUUAGCAAAAUAAAAUAAUAGAAAGUUGAAAUUCCUUUUAUAUAUAACAAAGAUUUUUAGUGUCCUGUGAAAUAAAUUUAAGUGAACUUUUUUUCUUAAUUCUAUACUGGGAAUAAAGUUUGUUUGGUGGUUCUAAUGAAAUGUGUGGCCCAGUGCAAAGUUGUCUAUUCUCCCACAGCAAAGUGCAUUCACAGUAUGACAAUUACAAAAGGGCAGUGAAAAGAUAAACACUGGCAGAGGGCUUACACUUAUGAUUUGUUAUGUUCUUUAGACUUGGUUCUUAUACCUGGUGGAUAAUAAAUGGAGAAAGUUAAUAAGUAUUCAUAAAAAAGCCAAUAUAAUGUACUUGAAUUCUACAUUAUGUAUGUGAGUCACCUCCAUCUGUGUGCUCAUUUCUUCUGUGUUUAUUGUUGCAAUGUUCUGUGUGGGAAGCAGGCAGCCCUCCAUCUGACUCUCCCUUCAUACUGGCAGCCUUUCUGUACUUCUCUUUCUUGAGGCAGUCUUCGAACAAAAACAUUGGGGCUGUGCUUGGAGGCAUAGAUGAAGAUUGUGAACAAGUAAGGACAAACAAACAGGGUUAUAUCUAAGCUAAUUUAGUGUACAGAAUUCUGUUUAAAAAUAAUAUCUUAUAAAAGAGGCAAUUUCUUACAACUAAGAAAAUGCCAAGAUGAAUAAACAAAUACUACAAAAAUAUGCUACUUUCUCUGUCCCUCAUAUAAAAAUACAAUAUUAAUACUCAGACUUGCUGUACCAGAUCUUAUGAUAUUCCUACUAUUAUCUCAACUUAUUGUAAUGUAGGAUCACAUCUCUGGUUCACAAAUGAAACGUAGUCACUUUAAAAUCUCAAAACACAGAAUCUAAUUGCCAGUUGCCCGGUGAGCUCACGCCUGUAGGGCUGAUCUUUGUCUUCCCAGAGACUGGUAGCUCAGCAACAUCUGCUCUCAAGCUCCUGGGAGUAAAGAGGUCAUUGGCUUGUCAUGGGAUCGGAGGACGCUCGCUUAACUCAGUUUUUCUGAGCUACUGUGGGGAAUCUCUUCAGUGAAGAAGCGUAAUGCGGGUAUUCUGAAAUUUGUUAGAGAAUCUGAGUCAAAAUAAUUUGGGGAGGGGAAGCAAUCGACAUAAACAUUGGUAAUAUUGUUUAAGGAGGCUGUGUGGUCCAGUGGUUAAAGAAAAGGGGCUUGUAACCAGGAGGUCCUCGGUUCAAAUCCCACCUCAGCCACUGACUCCUUGUGCUCCAUCUUUUGGGUGAGACGUAAUUGUAAGUGACUCUGCAGCUGAUGCAUAGUUCACACACCCUAGUCUCUGUAAGUCGCCUUGGAUAAAGGCGUCUGCUAAAUAAACAAAUAAUAAUAAUAUUCUGGUUUACUGUAGAACAAAACAAAUCAUGACUUUGUCUGUGCAAUUUGGAUUGAGUACAGCCUGGGGAUGGAGGGAUGUGCCAUGUUUCUGGGU